UGGUCAUAUCAUGUUGAAAUACCAGUUCCCGUACAAUCAGCAAAUUUAAGCAAUGUCGAGCCUGGUCAGUACCUAGAUGGGUGCCCGCUUGAGAAUACCAGGUGCUGUAAG